UCGACCUAUGGAUGUGUUGGGUUACAUUUAAUGUAUCCGAACUGUAGUAAGUUUAACUUCAACAAACAAUAAUGUAAAUAAUGCACUUCUCCACUUUCAUAUAAUAUGAUCCUUUUUGCUAAAUGACUUUAGUUUCAUUGUAGGAUGACUUAUUUGAUAACCAUUGAUGCAUACACGUUCCAGAUCAAUCUUGUGCUAUUUGGCAACCAAGGCGGUGAUCGAGGAAGCAAUGAUCUUUAUUUGUGGCAUGAACAUCAUUGAGCCUGGUGAAAUUAAUCCUCUCAAUUGUAUUGACUACAAAAGUCAACUUCUAGAUCUUCUCAAAACCAAUAAGAACUUAUUGAAGACAUUUCACAAAUCACAAGG